rnacentral:rRNA from 1 species
UACAGAGGGUGCGAGCGUUAAUCGGAAUUACUGGGCGUAAAGCGUGCGUAGACGGUUAUUUAAGUCGGGUGUGAAAGCCCCGGGCUCAACCUGGGAAUUGCAUUCGAGACUGAAUAGCUAGGGUACGGUAGAGGGAAGCGGAAUUUCCGGUGUAGCGGUGAAAUGCGUAGAUAUAGGAAGGAACAUCAGUGGCGAAAGCGGCUUCCUGGACCAGUACCGACGUUCAGGCACGAAAGCGUGGGGAGCAAACAGG